rnacentral:lncRNA from 1 species
AAAGCCAUUCCAAAUCCAACCCAUUAUCCUCUACUAUGAAACUGCUCCUCCAUCUGUGUUCCCCACUGGGCACACAGACAUUGCUGCCACCAUCAAGUAGGUUGCUCAGACCAGAACCUUGUGCCUGCAUUCCCCAGAGCCAACCAGUCCUGAAGUCCUGCAAAUUCAUCUCCUUGAUGGUUCUCAAAUGUGCCUUCUCUUCCCCAGCUCCACUGCUGGUCACAGGU